rnacentral:rRNA from 1 species
CAGUCGCCACGGGAAUACAGAGGGUGCGAGCGUUAAUCGGAUUUACUGGGCGUAAAGCGUGCGUAGGCGGCUAAUUGAGUCGGAUGUGAAAUCCCCGAGCUUAACUUGGGAAUUGCAUUCGAUACUGGUUAGCUAGAGUGUGGGAGAGGAUGGUAGAAUUCCAGGUGUAGCGGUGAAAUGCGUAGAGAUCUGGAGGAAUACCGAUGGCGAAGGCAGCCAUCUGGCCUAACACUGACGCUGAGGUACGAAAGCAUGGGGAGCAAACAGGAUUAGAUACCCCAGUAGUCCCUGUCUCUUAUAC